AAGGCUGAGGGAGCUCAGGGAGGAGAUGGCGUCGGGGAGGCUGCAGUGGGCGAUGCUGGGGACGGGAUGGCACUCAGGUGUGGUUUCAAAGGGAAAUGCUGAGGUACCUUGAGGAAUGGACGCUGGGCUGGGAACUAUGAACACGUCAGAUUGCUUCAGAGAGUGUUCAUGACAGAAAUUUGUGCAGUGAAGGAUUCCAGCAAAGAGAGGGAGAAGAGCCAAACUUAGAUCAGGCCUCCUAGGAUGCUUGCAGGUUUGGGGACAGGGCUGACGAGGUUGUUAAUCUGGUCCUAACGUUUUCUUUCUCUCCCUCUCUUGCAGCACCUGACUGAAUGGAGGAGCAAGUGGACGGGAAGCUCCUGCGCCACACACAGAUCACAUUUAUUACUCUCGCCCUCAGAGACCCGGAGAUCCAAACCGUUCGCAUGGUGCCUUGAAGCAGCCUGUGCUCAUGCGCUUCUCCAGGGGGAAGGCGGAAUGGCAGUGACUGGCCACGUUGAGCCACAGGGUGCACACUCUGCAGCUGUCAAGCCCAGCUCUGCGUCAGCUCACACCUGCGGUUUUGCACUGCACACGCAAAUUUGAGUUGUCGCUGGUUGUCGCAGCGUUUGGCUUUGGUGAGGACAGCGUGUGUUUGUCAGCAGUUGGUGUAGGUGGAAUCUUGAGGAGAAAGCGAUAUUUCCGUGCCAGAACUGGUUGGUGUUUGCAUGGUAUUGUGGCGGUUGUUCCCGCAGGCGAUCAGUGCUGGAGUGUUAUUGCAGGAAAGGGGAUUUUGGAGCUUGUCUGUGAGAUGCACCAGAGGCAGCAGCUGAAAGCGAAAGGCUGAGAUUUGGAGGGUUUGUGGGUGGUUUUGGGCGGUUGUCAGCUGAAGAGUUGGCUGAUUGCAGGUGAGGUGUAGGGCAGAGGGUGAAGCUGACUUUGCCUGGGCGGCACAACUGGCUGGGUGUGCAGAGCUGGGGAGAGCGGGCUGCUGCGGGUGACCCUAAAGCUGGAGAACCGGCCGGCAGCUCCAGAGGCUCCCGCUGCCGGGCAGGGCCGUGCAGGCCAGUGCCGUGGGGCACAGCGACGUGACCUCCGCAAGGACCAAAGAGCAGGUGAGGGCCGUGGGCAUUUGUACUGAGCUGUGACAUCCCUGACCCGUGACAUUGGGGUCCAGCAAGUACCAAAGAGCAGGUGAGGACUGUGGGCAUUUGUACUGAGCUGUGACAUCUCUGACCCGUGACAUUGGGGUCCAGCAAGUACCAAAGAGCAGGUGAGGACCGUGGGCAUUUGUACUGAGCUGUGACAUCUCUGACCCGUGACAUUGGGGUCCAGCAAGUACCAAAGAGCAGGUGAGGACCGUGGGCAUUUGUACUGAGCUGUGACAUCUCUAACCCGUGACAUUGGGGUCCAGCAAGUACCAAAGAGCAGGUGAGGACUGUGGGCGUUUGUACUGAGCUGUGACAUCUCUAACCUGUGACACUGGGGUCCAGCAAGGACCAAAGAACAGGUGAGGGCCGUGGGCAUUUGUACUGAGCUGUGACAUCUCUAACCCGUGACAUUGGGGUCCAGCAAGUACCAAAGAGCAGGUGAGGACUGUGGGCGUUUGUACUGAGCUGUGACAUCUCUAAGGCGUGUGCGAGGGGCUGGGGCCAAGGCAAGGUGGGCGCGCUGUGGGGUGUGGGGGGGUGUCAGCCCCCAGACUUGUCCCCUGUCUGACUGUAGUGCCCGUGGGCUGGUGUAGCUCAGUCCUUCGUGUGUUUCUCUUCAGGUGGAGCAGCGUGCGAAGGAAAAAGGAAGCAGAGGAAGACGGUGAGCCUGCGAGGAAGAGUGUAGCGAGUCGGGCAUGGACUCACGGGGAGCAGCGUGCAAAGGAAAAGCGAGGAAGGAGGCAGAGUGAUGGAUACAGAGGGUUGGAUCGCACCUGCCGGUCAGGAGGGAUCAGGGAAGAAGACACCGGUGGUGGAACCGCAGGUCAGGAGAGCUCAAGGAGGGAGAAAGGUGACUGUGGCCAUAUGGGUUUUUCUAGCUCACACACCAAUGAAAACAGUUUGGAUAAUAAAAGAAAUGUAUGCAAAACCGAUAAGUAAAGGCAGAGAGUGUUUAUAUGCUAUGUAUGGGAUAGACCUGAAGGUGUAUUUAUUCCUACAACAAAGGAGAAUUCGCAAUGGUAAUUAACUGAGGAUGUGAAUUUCCAGAUUGCAUUGGCAACAUACGUGGGGAACAUAUCAGUUUAUUACCCUCAACAUAAAGUGUGGGCUGAAACUGGUAAUUUACCGUUGUGCAGCAAACGCUGCUGUCAGCAACGACUAGUAAGCGACAAGACUGUAAUUACUGAUGGCUCUGGUUGCUCACGUGAAGUUGUAAUGACGUGGCUGAACUCAGAUACCCAGUGCUGCAAACACAAGGUAGAGAAAGAGACCAAGGGUCCAACAAGUUCUGGAGCUGACAGCUGUUGGGAUCGCUGUGAGGUGUUCUGUGACAAACCUUGGAAUGUUGGAACUGGCUCGUAUUAUGCAGCUGGCGUACUUAACCACCUGGAAGCUUCUUUUCUUAAGGAAGAGGACAAUCCUCUUUCGAUGGCUGAAUUGAGAAUGCUAUGGUUUCUAAUAAAUCACAGACAUCAUGGUUUUUAUGCAAUGCACACCCGCUCUCGCACGGCCCUUCCAGGACCUCUUGCGGAAGGCAAUAGGAGGGCCGAUGCACAAGCUGUGCUGCUCACUGUGCCUGAAGCCUUGCAGCAAGCUAAAUGAUCACAUGAAUCCUUUCACCAGAGUGCAAAGGCGUUAAAACGACAAUUUCAAAUGACAGUGGAUCAGGCCAGGAGCGUUCUUAUGUCCUGCCCUGAUUGCCAGCAGUCGGCACCCGUGCCGUGCACAGAGGGUGUGAAUGCAGGAGGGAUUGCUGCCAGUGAAGUACGGCCAGCUGGGGUAACGCGUUGUUCUGAAUGGGGUAAAUACGUACGUGUUUCUGUACGCGCUCAUUCCGGAUUUCUCGUUGCUGCUGCACGCUGGUGAAAGAGCACGAGACGUCUGUGACGUUGGUUGACAUGUUCACUGUUUGAGGAGUUCCACGAUAUGUAAAACCAGAGGAAAGCAGAACGCACGCUGGAUUAGAGGAGCGAUCCCCGAGUGCCCAGCGCGCUGUAAUAGAAGUGCCUGCUGUUUAACACUUUCAAAACAGUGAUAGCGAGUCUGUUUGCCGACUUUCCGGUAUCAUGUUCUGGCGACGAGGAUGGGAUGAUCUGCCUGACCUGCCGUGGUCCCCAGGGUCUCUGGGACCUUGUGCCGGCACCGGGGAGUUCCCGGAAGGGACCACGGAUCCUGGGACCAGCUCGGACGCGGGUGAAGCCCCAUCAGUGAGAUGAGGCGCUUUCACUGUCUGGUUGGGCUGGCACGCUGCCUGCGCGAGACGUGGGCGACACGGCGCGUGGGGUCUGCGCGUUCGCGUCUGCGUGUUUGGGUAAACCGGGGAACUUCAAAAGAAAUAAAAAAUUAAAGAGGAAAAUGAGAAAACUAUAAAUAAAAGAAAAAACGAGGGAACAGUAAUUUGGUAAAGGUACCUGUAGUGAUUUUGCUGUUUUUGCCUUAGCGAUUGUAGGAUUGUGUCUUCAGUGAAAUGUUGUUGUUGUUACUUGUGUCUUGGGUGAUUUUAUAGUCCAGUACUUACAGUUCUCCAAUUGUCUGUUACUGUGAUUGUGAAACAGGUGGUGGUACAAUCGACAGGAGGGAUUUGGAAGAAAUUCCCCCCGGUUGUAUUUUGUGACAUUGGAAAAGGAUCGUUUGACUCGCUGGGGAACAGCAACCAGGGGAAUCUGAUUGAAUAUUGUAAUUAAUGGUGGCCACUGUAAAUAAUAUUAACAUGCUGCACAGGUCUAGGUGGGUAUACUUUGAGAUGUGUAGUAUAGUACCGCACUACAUGUAAUAUAUAAUAAGAUGUAUAUUUUAAAUCACAUAUUGCUUAUUACAUAAUGUGUAUUACACAAUACAUAAUGUUACAUAUGCAUUGUAUUUAUCCCCGUCAGAUCCAUUUGCUUUGAAAAAGGAUAAUCAGAAGUUGAAACCAGUAAAAGGUUUGUUGAAGAGCAGCUAUUGGUGUAGAGUACACAGAGCACACGGGAUCAGAACUGUCCCUCGGUCGGUCCAGGGUGGCAUCCUGAUGUCCUUACAUCGGGGACAGGCUGCAUUGGUAUGGACAGUGCAUUUCAUACGGGAUUAGACACGCUGUGCCUAAAGCUGUAAAUACGCCAAAACCUUCUGAGAUUAAACAGGAUCGUGAGGAGUCUCCCACUGAGUUCUUACACCGUCUUAAACCGACAGCUCAGAAAUAUAUUAAUAUAGGUCCUGACUUGGAGAACAGAGAAAUAGAAUUCUUAGUUGACUGGGUGCUCAUUAUUCAGUGUUAAACACUGUGCAGGGAAUAUUAAGUAGCGAUUCUGUAACAGUUAUGGGUGCCACAAAAACUGCAAAACACGGCCCUUUAACCCGCUGCUUAGAAUGUUUGUGUGUGGAGCGUGGUACUUAUUGAUUGUGUGCCGUGUGUCUUCUCUUGUGCACAACGAAUGGUUGACAGAAGCUUUAGUGGUGCAGUGGCUGUGCAGUUACACGCUGCUGUGGCUGCAGUUGUUGAACAAAGAAGGGGAGAUGUGGCCGGGUUGUGACAUCAGUUGUGAGAAACUGCAAGAGUCACAGCGUGAGAACAAGCGCUGGUGGAACAACACAAGCAGCAAAGACUGUGUGGGACAUGAACUGUCAGGGACAGAGGGAUUGAUACGGGAUUGGGACAUCAGGGACAGGGAUUGAUACGGGAUCGGUACAUCAGGGACAGGGAUUGAUACGGGAUUGGUACAUCGGGAACAGAGGGAUUGAUACGGGAUCGGUACAUCAGGGACAGGGAUUGAUACGGGAUUGGGACAUCAGGGACAGGGAUUGAUAUGGGAUCGGUACAUCAGGGACAGGGAUUGAUACGGGAUCGGUACAUCAGGGACAGAGGGAUUGAUACGGGAUUGGGACAUCAGGGACAGGGAUUGAUACGGGAUUGGGACAUCAGGGACAGGGAUUGAUAUGGGAUCGGUACAUCAGGGACAGAGGGAUUGAUACGGGAUUGGUACAUCGGGAACAGAGGGAUUGAUACGGGAUUGGUACAUCAGGGACAGAGGGAUUGAUACGGGAUUGGUACAUCAGGGACAGAGGGAUUGAUACGGGAUUGGUACAUCAGGGACAGGGGGAUUGAUACGGGAUUGGUACAUCGGGAACAGAGGGAUUGAUACGGGAUCGGUACAUCAGGGACAGAGGGAUUGAUACGGGAUCGGUACAUCGGGAACAGAGGGAUUGAUACGGGAUUGGUACAUCAGGGACAGGGAUUGAUAUGGGAUCGGUACAUCAGGGACAGAGGGAUUGAUACGGGAUUGGUACAUCGGGAACAGAGGGAUUGAUACGGGAUUGGUACAUCAGGGACAAAGGGAUUGAUAAACAGGGACAGGGGUUGAUACGGGAUUGGUACAUGAGGGACAGAGGUUCGUGAUGUUUCAAAUGCAAACCUGAGUUUGUAUUAAAUGUCUCUUCGCAUCUCAAAGAGUGUCUGUGCCUCACUUGCUACACCCCUUUAUCUGUUUCCCAAAUUGCGAUUUAAACUGUAUUUACCAUUGUAAAAAUAAAGCUUUCCCCCCUUAAUUUUUGUCACAUAUUGUAAUUAGAAUUAAUAGAGAUAUUGAAGCCCGUCCUAGCUGAACUGGAGAAAAGACAGCAGCCAUGUGUAUUUUUAAAUAAAGAUUAAAUCAAGUCUGCUA